CAAAUCUUUACCGGAUUGAAUUCGAGACAAAUAGCAUAUAAAUACCAAUGAAGCUCACCACAUUUUCCAACAUUUUCCCAAGUAUAGCUCUCUUUAGAAGUACAAAGAGUUUAUGUCUGAUGUUUAAAAGCUGCAGUAAUUUGUCUUCAAAGGCGUUUGAUAAAUUUAAGGAAUAAUGAUUAGGAUUUGAGCAUUUUCCCCUGUUUUUUUCCCUCCUAGUUUCAGUCAGAUUGCAACAAGGUCAUGCUGCACAAUUAUACUGUAUGUUUUUGGACAACAGAAGAUAUUGAAAAUGAAAAUCUACAAACAAGUUGCCAAGGAAAACGCUGGAAACCUGCUUGGAGAUCUGGACUGCCGCAAACACCGUGCGAGAUCUACUACUGCGGGAGCACAUUCACGAGUUUCACAGCAUGCCACAGACUGGCAUUGAAAUAAAAUGUUUACAAGAUCUUAAA